rnacentral:rRNA from 1 species
AUUGAACGCUGGCGGCAUGCUUUACACAUGCAAGUCGAACGGUAACAGGCCGCAAGGUGCUGACGAGUGGCGAACGGGUGAGUAAUGCAUCGGAACGUGCCCAGUCGUGGGGGAUAACGCAGCGAAAGCUGCGCUAAUACCGCAUACGAUCUAUGGAUGAAAGCGGGGGACCGUAAGGCCUCGCGCGAUUGGAGCGGCCGAUGUCAGAUUAGGUAGUUGGUGGGGUAAAGGCUCACCAAGCCAACGAUCUGUAGCUGGUCUGAGAGGACGACCAGCCAAACUGGGACUGAGACACGGCCCAGACUCCUACGGGAGGCAGCAGUGGGGAAUUUUGGACAGUGGGCGCAAGCCUGAUCCAGCCAUGCCGCGUGCAGGAUGAAGGCCUUCGGGUUGUAAACUGCUUUUGUACGGAACGAAAAAGCUCUCUCUAAUACAGGGGGUGAAUGACGGUACCGUAAGAAUAAGCACCGGCUAACUACGUGCCAGCCGCCGCAGUAACAC